AAGUUUAGGUUGUGGAACAGUGUGCUCUUGUAGUUUGGAAGACGUGGGCAUUCGAUGAUGAGCGUCACUGUUCCCGCAAAGCUGAAAGACAAAGCUUAAACCGUGUUCUAGAGGAGAACGUUGUCAGGACAUCAGGUUGUGUAUGCCACGUCCACAUGAAGUCGAGGGGUUGCAAGAAUAGCAGAGGCUCCCGGACAUGCAGGUCGCGGAGGAGAUGGCCAUUCACGGUGCGAGUCUGUUGCGUGCUUUCGAGACAUAUUGCGGAUGUCCUGAGGCCGAAUGGACGGUUCAUCAAUGGUGAAGUUCUUCCAAUUUCAUCAUGUGCUUGGUCCGUAGAAGCAUAGAUCUAGCGUAACAGGUUGUCGGAAGAUGACACCUUUCCUUGGGAUUGACAGUAUUUUGCUUGUGCUGAUUAUAAACGUAAAAGUUGGAUAUAUUUGUAGCUCAUUAUAGGCUGCAACGAGCGUCUCAGUAGAUAAAAGUAGCCUUUUUACCACGACUUUAUCAAGCUUCCUAGUCACCCUCGUUACCGAGAGUUAAAGCUGACUUCUGAUUGAGUUUUUUACUGUCAUUUUUAAUUAGCCUU